rnacentral:tRNA from 1 species
AAGACAUUAGUAAAAUACAUAUUACAUCCUCUUGUCAAGAGGAAACUGUGGGUUAAAUUCCCGCAUAUCUUA